AUGAAAAACGAAGGAAGCGUUGAAUUAGUGUAUUUGCAGCAGAAGACACCCAGCCCCCGUGCUCGGAGCCAGCAGGAGCAAGGCUCGCUCCUUUCCCACCCCCUGGGCCGCGAUGAAGGAGGGGAGCGGGAGGCCGAACGAUGCGGAGCGAUGCGCUGCGCCCGGUGCGCGUCCCGGUGCAGUUCCGAGUGUCGGCGGGCGGUGGCCCCCGCGCCGUGCUCAGCGCCGGGAGCUGCCGGUAGCGGCCCCGCACAGCCCCGCACAGCCCCGCUCCGUUCCCGCAGUGCCGGCGGAGCUGAGAGGACCGGAGCGGGGGGGGGAAGCUGCGCCCAGGUGCUGCCCGAACACGGAACAAUUCCCAGCCCGGCCUCUCCUUAUGCAAACUCCAUAACCCGAAGCCGUCGUCAGACGUUGUCCUUGAGUCCUUCCCAUCCCUUCCCUUUGCAUCUCACACCUCGCGCGCAUUCACCGCGCGACAUUUCAACCCCGGCCAACAGCCAAACCCCCGCCUGCAGCCGCUCAGCCCUGCGCUGUGCCUCCCCCCUCCAGCCCCACGUAAUUCAUUCCCCACCACCCCCCCCCUCCCCAGGGCUGAGGGUCACGCAGCAGGGAGAGGCCUGUUGUGCAUUGCAUCCCAAUUUGCUAUGCAUUUCCACACCAUUUGCUCCCCUUUCUUUUUCCUGCACUAGAAAGAUGCUUGCUACCCAGGGGUCCAAACUGCUCCAGGAUGGUAAUAUAACAACAAACAUCGACAUACAUACAUUUAUGUUUUUAUGGCACACACAGUUUGCAGGAAAACUACUGCUCUGGGGACAGCCCGCACCCCUACAGCCCCCAAACCCCACCAUAGGACCCAGCAGCAGAUGCUCUCUGCUGUUCCAUGUCACACAGCUGCACGGUUCCAUCCCCAUCUGCGCUCAGCCCAACGCUAUGCAGACCUCCAUGCCUCAAUUCACUGAUGCUUUAGGAAAACCAGCAGUUGCCCACAGUAAAUAUGGCCACCAUGGCACACAUCUUUCCCCCUCCCCAGUCUCACUCUUUGAAGCCAGGGGAGUUUUGUGCCCUCGGCACAAAAUGAAUGAGGUCGUGGCUGCCCACCAUGCAGGUGACAAAACUGUGGGCUUUGGGAACAACCUCACACUGCUGGUGGAAGGAAAAAAGAAAGCCAAGCUGAAUUAUUCAAUAUUUUACCAAUGGGCAGGUAACUGCACCUUCAGCUUCUGGCUGCUGCAGUGUGUUCCUAUGGGCUGGCGAGCAAGAAGGCAAAAAUGCCACGCUGCUUCACCUCUGUGA
rnacentral:lncRNA from 1 species